rnacentral:lncRNA from 1 species
CACCCGAGGCAUAUGGAGGUUCCCAGGUUUGGGGUCUAAUCUGAGCAGAGUCUGAGACCUACAACACAGCUCACAGCAAUGUCGGAUCCUUAACCCUCUGAGCAAGGCAAGGGAUUGAACCCGCAACCUCAUGCUUCCUAGGCAGAUUCCUUAACCGCUGAGCCAUGACGGGAACUCCCAAGCGUUCCAUAUUUUUUGAACGUUUCCACAGAAAAGAAAAUCAUAGACUUGGAGAAUAGACUUGUGGCUGCCCGGGGGGAGAUGGAGGGAGAGGGAGGGAUAGGGAACCUGGGGUUAACGGAUCAAACUAUUACUCUUGGAAUGGAUUUACAGUAAGAUUCUGCUGUGUAGCAUUGAGAACUAUGUCCAGAUACUUACAUUGCAACACAAUAAUGGAAGGAAAAAGUAUGUAUACAUGUAUGCGUAACUUGGUCCCCAAGCUGUACAUUAACAUGGGCUGCCAUAACAAAGUAUUACAGAUGGGGAGUAACAAUAGCAAUUUAUUUCUCAUGCUUCUAGAUACUGGGAAGUCCAAGAUCAAGAUGCUGGCUGAUUUGGUUCCUAGUAAGAGCUCUUUUCCUGGCCUGUGGCUAGCUGCCUUACACUAUGUCCUCAAGUGAUGGCAAGAGCAAGCUCUAUCUCUUCAUUUUCUUAUAAGGACAUGGCACUAACAGAUUAGGGCCCCACCCUUAUGAUCUUAUUUAACCAUUAUCACCUCCUCACAGGCUUUAUCUGCAAAUAGUCACAUUGGGGUUGGAACUUCAACAUAAACAUUCAAUCCAUAACAGGAAGCUAUAUAAAGGAAGGCGAGCACUGUUGAAAGACACUCCUCCAUGAGUGUCCAUAUACUCCUAAGCAUUCUGCUGGGAAUGCUAAGGAUGAGGGCACUGCAAGGUGCAGUGCUAGGCCAGUGAAGUGAGGGAUUCACUCCAGCUCUGCCUUAUUUCCCUUAGAAGGACCAAGCACAUUAGUGGCAGGCAAGGAAAGGGCAGAAUUUCCUUCCUUUUUAAGACUGAAAAAUAUUCCAUUGUAUCUAUAUACCACAUUUUGCUUAAUCAUUAUCCACUGAUGAACAUUUGAGAGGCUUCCAUGUUUUAGCUACUGCAAAUAAUGCUGGUAUAAACAAUGGGAAACUACUUCUCUCUGUAUAAUCAUGUAUAUUGACCAACUCAGUUAAGAGCAGGGAAGUUUGUGUAAAUUUAGCCAGAAGUGUUUAGGAAAAUGCUUAGAAAAAUCUCUCUUCCGUUGUCCCAGAGCUGAGAAAUGUUUGUCCUUGGAGUGUGUAUUUGGUCCAGUAACUUACCAGACAACUAUAGGAGAAAUGAAGAUUUACAUUUCACUUCUCACUAGUUUAGACAUAUCAAAUGGGAAAGUUUUGCUCAACUGCCUUGUACUAAGAAACUCAGACUUAUGGAAAUGUUUUGUGGAACUGUGUCCUGUGAAUUGCCUCACUGUGGCUGGGGUGGAGUUUGGGUGUGAGUUGAGCUGUGAUUCCUAGGGUAAAAUUAAUCUCUGUGGGUAGGAGUUAGAGUUUUCCUAAAUGGAGGCUGUUUUUUUACAGUAGGGAUUAAAGAAAGCUCCUUUACAGAGAAACAGAGAAGUAAAUUUAAACAGGACAACUAGAUACUGCUGUGUCCAUGAAGAGAACUCCCAAUCCCCAUGAAAUGUUCAUUGAUUUAUUCUUUUCCUUUGACUUUAGAAAUAGUCAUAUUUAGCAUUUGGUUUUAAUUUUUCUCAUGGGUAUUAAAGUUUAUUUUGUUAUCAAUAAUCCUUCAGUAAAGUUGUAAAGGUAAAGUCAUAUGUCGAUAGUGUGUGGGAUUUUAAGGGAAUUUAAAUUUUAAGGGAAACAUCCUUUAUGUCAGAGAGCACAAUCUUAUGAAGGAAUUAUGGGAAAGUGAGGAGAGGCUCAAGGCUGAGCAGAGAGGGCAAGAGCUGUUUGGAAAAAUGGUGCAAUCUAUACUAAUUCAGGGGUCAUCUUAAUACAAUCCUCCUCCCCCUCCAAAAUACAUAAACAGAAGAUUACGGAAAGGGAAAAAAAGUUUUAAGAAAUUAUCCUAGAUUAUUUUCAUUCAAGCAUCUUAUUUUUUAAAUAAACAUUAAAAAUAUUUAAAGAAAGAAACUUUGAUCACAGACAUUUCAUUUACCACUCAGCAUUUCUGUACAUUCUUUGGUUACAAUAAGGAAUCAAGUUUAAUUUCAACAAUAUCAAGAGAGUGGUCUGAUGACAAGUUUGGGCAGCACAGGAAAAAGCUGAAUUACCACACUCAACUAAUAACAUAAUAGGGGUGAAUCCAUGGUAAACCAAAAAUCUCCCUUUUCAUUUUGUUGUGCUUCUGAAACAUCACCUUGGAAAACUCAUAUUAAAAUAACAAUAACUGUGGUUACAUAAUGGAACUACCUUCAAGUUUUAAUGAAUAAUAGAUUUUUCUUUAAAAUGAUCUCACAAGGAAGUAGUACUGGUGGUAUGGAACUGGUUCCACAGAGAACAAAAAUUGAAAAUCUCACACAUAUUGUAUCCUAGGUCAGCAGUUUUCAAACUUUUUGGUCUCAGUACUCUUUUCACAAUCUUAAAAAUUAUUAAGAACUCUAAAGAACUUUAGAAAAUAUGGGUUAUAUCUAUAAAAAUUUAUGGUACUACAAUUAGAGAAAUGAAAAUGUUAAUUUAUUAGAAAUAACAAUACCAUGUUAACAUAAUGCAUUUUUAUGAACACAGGUAUAUUUUCAAAAACAAAAAGGUGGCAGUGUUUUAGAUUUUUGCCAAUCUCAUUAAUGCCUGGCUUAAUAGAAGGGAGCUAAAUUUUCACAUGUGCUUCAUUAUUCAAUCUAUUGUGUAAUCUAUCUAUAUUGCUUUGACUGAAGUACAUUAAGAUAA